rnacentral:rRNA from 1 species
UACGGAGGGUGCGAGCGUUGUCCGGAAUCACUGGGCGUAAAGGGCGCGUAGGCGGCGCGGGGAGUCAACGGUGAAAGCUCGGCGCUCAACGCCGAGUCGGCCGUCGAUACUCCCGUGCUCGAGCACUGUAGAGGCAGGUGGAAUUCCUCGUGUAGCGGAUGGAAAUGACGUAGAGAUUAGGAAGAACACCAGGUGGCGAAGGCGACUUACUGGACUGUAACUGACGCUGAGGCAUGAAAGCGUGGGGAGCAAACAGG